rnacentral:rRNA from 1 species
UGGUUAAGUAAGUAAGAGCGCACGGUGGAUGCCUUGGCACUAGGAGCCGAUGAAGGACGGAACGAACACCGAUAUGCUUCGGGGAGCUGUAAGUAAGCUUUGAUCCGGAGAUUUCCGAAUGGGGAAACCCCCUAUCCUAACGGAUAGGAUGCAUCACUGAAUUCAUAGGUGAUGCAAGGCAGACCCGGGGAACUGAAACAUCUUAGUACCCGGAGGAAGAGAAAGCAAAUGCGAUUUCCUGAGUAGUGGCGAGCGAAACGGAAUCAGCCCAAACCAAAGGGCUUGCCCUUUGGGGUUGUAGGACACUCUAUUGUGGAGUAAGAAAAGUGUGGGAUAGGCGAAGCAGUCUGGAAAGGCUAGCCAUAGAAGGUAACAGCCCUGUAUCCUAAAUCUCACACUCUCCCUGAGUGAAUCCUGAGUACGGCGGGACACGAGAAACCCCGUCGGAAUCUGGGAGGACCAUCUCCCAAGGCUAAAUACUCCCUAGUGACCGAUAGUGAACCAGUACCGUGAGGGAAAGGUGAAAAGCACCCCGGAAGGGGAGUGAAAGAGAUCCUGAAACCGUGUGCUUACAAGUAGUUGGAGCCCCUUAGAGGGUGACAGCGUACCUUUUGUAGAAUGGACCGGCGAGUUACGAUCAUAAGCAAGGUUAAGCUUAAGAGGCGGAGCCGCAGCGAAAGCGAGUCUGAAUAGGGCGACUUAAGUUUAUGGUUGUAGACCCGAAACCGUGUGAUCUACCCAUGUCCAGGGUGAAGUUCAGGUAACACUGAAUGGAGGCCCGAACCCACGCACGUUGAAAAGUGCGGGGAUGAGGUGUGGGUAGGGGUGAAAUGCCAAUCGAACACGGAGAUAGCUGGUUCUCCCCGAAAUAGCUUUAGGGCUAGCCUCGAGGA